GACGGAGGGGGCUAGCGUUGUUCGGAAUUACUGGGCGUAAAGAGCGUGUAGGCGGUAUAAUAAGUUGGGAGUGAAAGCCCGGGGCUUAACCUCGGAACUGCUUCCAAAACUAUUAUGCUAGAGUGCGGUAGGGGAUGAUGGAAUUCCUAGUGUAGAGGUGAAAUUCUUAGAUAUUAGGAGGAACACCGGUGGCGAAGGCGAUCAUCUGGGCCGAUACUGACGCUGAGACGCGAAAGCGUGGGGAGCAAACAGG
rnacentral:misc_RNA from 1 species